GAUCCUGGCUCAGGAUGAACGCUAGCUACAGGCUUAACACAUGCAAGUCGAGGGGCAUCAGUUUUGUUUGCUUGCAACCAAAGCUGGCGACCGGCGCACGGGUGAGUACACGUAUCCAACCUGCCUCGAUACUCGGGGAUAGCCUUUCGAAAGAAAGAUUAAUAUCCGAUAGCAUAUAUUUCCCGCAUGGGUUUUAUAUUAAAGAAUUCGGUAUGAGAUGGGGAUGCGUUCCAUUAGUUUG
rnacentral:rRNA from 1 species